UACCUAUAAGACUGGGAUAACUUCGGGAAACCGGAGCUAAUACCGGAUAAUAUUUCGAACCGCAUGGUUCGAUAGUGAAAGAUGGUUUUGCUAUCAUUUAUAGAUGGACCCGCGCCGUAUUAGCUAGUUGGUAAGGUAACGGCUUACCAAGGCGACGAUACGUAGCCGACCUGAGAGGGUGAUCGGCCACACUGGAACUGAGACACGGUCCAGACUCCUACGGGAGGCAGCAGUAGGGAAUCUUCCGCAAUGGGCGAAAGCCUGACGGAGCAACGCCGCGUGAGUGAUGAAGGUCUUCGGAUCGUAAAACUCUGUUAUUAGGGAAGAACAUACGUGUAAGUAACUGUGCACGUCUUGACGGUACCUAAUCAGAAAGCCACGGCUAACUACGUGCCACCAGCCGCGGUAAUACGUAGGUGGCAAGCGUUAUCCGGAAUUAUUGGGCGUAAAGCGCGCGUAGGCGGUUUUUUAAGUCUGAUGUGAAAGCCCACGGCUCAACCGUGGAGGGUCAUUGGAAACUGGAAAACUUGAGUGCAGAAGAGGAAAGUGGAAUUCCAUGUGUAGCGGUGAAAUGCGCAGAGAUAUGGAGGAACACCAGUGGCGAAGGCGACUUUCUGGUCUGUAACUGACGCUGAUGUGCGAAAGCGUGGGGAUCAAACAGGAUUAGAUACCCUGGUAGUCCACGCCGUAAACGAUGAGUGCUAAGUGUUAGGGGGUUUCCGCCCCUUAGUG
rnacentral:rRNA from 1 species